GGUAAUGAUGGCAGAGAGGUCACACCCGUUCCCAUACCGAACACGGAAGUUAAGCUCUCUAGCGCCGAUGGUAGUUGGGACCUUGUCCCUGUGAGAG
rnacentral:rRNA from 2 species